rnacentral:rRNA from 1 species
UACGUAGGGGGGCGAGCGUUGUCCGGAUUCAUUGGGCGUAAAAGCGCGCGCAGGCGGUGGCGUGAGCCCCGGCGUGAAAAGCCCCCCAGCUCAACUGGGGGGAGGCCGUCGGAGACCGCGGCACUUGAGGCCGGUAGGGGGAGAGCGGAAUUCCCCGGUGUAGUGGUGGAAUGCGUAGAUAUCGGGAGGAACACCAGUGGCGAAGGCGGCUCUCUGGGCCUUACCUGACGCUGAGGAGCGAAAAGCGUGGGGAGCGAACAGG